UAAUAAGUGUUUUAUGGCACUUUUUAAAUCCAUAUCCACCUUGUGUGCAAUGUCAGUCGAUCUUCUUCAUGGAGAUCGACCAAACAUCAACCUUUAUCUUUUAACAUCUUGUCUGAAAAUAUUAUGAAUAAACAAUUCAAAAUA
rnacentral:misc_RNA from 1 species